ensembl:lncRNA
GUGGAAUGUAGCCCACCAGACUUCUCUGUCUAUGGGAUCUCAAGGCAAGAAAAUGGAGCACAUUGCCAUUACUUCCUCUGGGGGAUCUUUCUGACCCAGGAAUCAAACCCCAGUCUUCUGUGUCUCCUGCACUGGCAGGUGGAUUCUUUUACUAUUGAGCCACCAAGGAAGCCCUGAUAUAUAUGCCUGAUGUCCUCACAAAAAGAGGAAAUUUGGACACUGACACACAUCAGGGAGAACACCAGAGGAGAUAAAGGCAGAGAUCAGAGCAGUGUAGCAGAGGCCAAGGAAUACCAAAGGCUGACAAUAAACCACCAGAAACUAAGAAAGAAGAGCCUUGAACAGAUCCUUCCUGGUAGCCUUCAGAAGAAGCCGAUCCUGUGGACACCUGAUUUCAGACAUGCAGUCUCCAUAACUGUGAGAAAGCCAAGUUCUGUUGUUUGAGCCACCGAGUUUGUGAUACUUGGUUAUAGCAGUCUUAGCAAACGAAUGCAGAAAGUGAAGAUUUAAUCAGGUACUGAACUACAGCAAGGGAACUGAGCGCUCAGUUAAAGUUGCAGGUAUUGUCCCUUGGAUCCAUCAUACGAGGGUGAAGAGAACAUACCAUGCAGACCCAAAAAAUGCUGAGUGGACAGCACCGAGGGACCCUGCUGACCCUCGAGGGACUAAGACCAUCCUUAAGAAGAAGGAAAAGAAGAUCCUGGACGAGCCCCUUCAGGAUGAAGCCGCACAAUCAACUCCUGCUGCUUGGCCUCAUCAACAUGAUUUUGAAUUGAACUUCUGUUUCAACUCAGGACAAUGUUUUCAUCUCAUGGGCACAUUCCUACGCAGACUUCCACAACACUUCCAAGUGCUGGGUAUGUAGGGCUAUGCCUCUCUCAGUCAUGGAUGGACUUCCUUGGUGGGUGUCACCGCUCUGACAAGGAGAUUUUAAACCACUCUGCUCUUUCUGGGAUGACAAGAAUAGACUUUCCUCUCUUGUCAAUCAUAACCUCUCCUUGCUCUCUUGGUGUAAGACCUAUAGUCAAUAGACUUGGGUCAUGGGGUUACAUUUGAUAUAAAUGCC